AGUCGAACGCAGUAGCAAUACUGAGUGGCAAACGGGUGAGUAUAAUGUGGGAAUCUGCCUUUUGGUUCGGAAUAACACGAGGAAACUUGUGCUAAUACCGGGUAAGUCCUUACGGAGAAAGUUUUAAUGCCAAAAGAUGAGCCCGCAUUUGAUUAGCUAGUUGGUAAGGUAAAAGCUUACCAAGGCGACAAUCAAUAGCUGAUUUGAGAGGAUGAUCAGCCACACUGGGACUGAGAUACGGCCCAGACUCC
rnacentral:rRNA from 1 species